rnacentral:rRNA from 1 species
UACGGAGGGUGCAAGCGUUAAUCGGAAUUACUGGGCGUAAAGCGCGCGUAGGUGGUUUGGUAAGCGAGAUGUGAAAGCCCCGGGCUUAACCUGGGAACGGCAUUUCGAACUGCCAGACUAGAGUGUGGUAGAGGGUAGUGGAAUUUCCUGUGUAGCGGUGAAAUGCGUAGAUAUAGGAAGGAACACCAGUGGCGAAGGCGGCUACCUGGACCAACACUGACACUGAGGUGCGAAAGCGUGGGGAGCAAACAGGAUUAGAUACCCCUGUAGUCCCU